AGAUUAAGAACGAAGGCUAAGAACGAACGCAACGUCCUGUUGCAACGCCUUCAUGACCUAUCCUGUAGG
rnacentral:sRNA from 1 species